rnacentral:rRNA from 1 species
UACGGAGGAUCCGAGCGUUAUCCGGAUUUAUUGGGUUUAAAGGGUGCGUAGGCGGGUCUUUAAGUCAGCGGUGAAAGUUCGUGGCUCAACCACGAAAUUGCCGUUGAAACUAUAGACCUUGAGUGUAGAUGAAGUGGGCGGAAUUCGUAGUGUAGCGGUGAAAUGCUUAGAUAUUACGAAGAACUCCAAUUGCGAAGGCAGCUCACUAGGCUACAACUGACGCUGAGGCACGAAGGUGCGGGGAUCAAACAGG